GCGCAGGCGGAUUAGAAAGUCUGGUGUUAAAAGCAAUUGCUUAACGAUUGUAUGCAUUGGAAACUUCUAGUCUAGAGUUUGGUAGAGAGUCCUGGAACUCCAUGUGGAGCGGUGAAAUGCGUAGAUAUAUGGAAGAACACCAGAGGCGAAGGCGAGGACUUGGGCCAAUACUGACGCUUAGGCUUGAAAGUGUGGGGAGCAAAUAGGAUUAGAUACCCUAGUAGUCCACACUGUAAACGAUGGAUGUUAAGUGUCGGAGCGAAUACUUCGGUGCUGCAGUUAACACAUUAAACAUCCUGCCUGAGUAGUACAUUCGCAAGAAUGAAACUCAAACGGAAUUGACGGGGACCCGCACAAGUGGUGGAGCAUGUUGCUUAAUUCGACGGUACACGAAAAACCUUACCUAGACUUGACAUCUUGGGCGAAGCUAUAGAAAUAUAGUGGAGGUCAACCCAAUGACAGGUGGUGCAUGGUUGUCGUCAGCUCGUGUCGUGAGAUGUUGGGUUAAGUCCCGCAACGAGCGCAACCCUUAUCGUUAGUUACUUUGUCURACGAGACUGCCAACGUAAGUUGGAGGAAGGUGGGGAUGACGUCAAAUCAUCAUGCCCCUUAUGUCUAGGGCUGCAAACGUGCUACAAUGGCCAAUACAAWCAGUUGCAAAUCCGUAAGGUGGAGCUAAUCUGUAAAGUUGGUCUCAGUUCGGAUUGAGGGCUGCAAUUCGCCCUCAUGAAGUCGGAAUCACUAGUAAUCGCGAAUCAGCCAUGUCGCGGUGAAUACGUUCUCGGGUCUUGUACACACCGCCCGUCAAACUAUGAGAGCUGGUAAUAUCUAAAACCGUGUUGCUAACCGCAAGGAAGCGCAUGUCUAGG
rnacentral:rRNA from 1 species